rnacentral:tRNA from 1 species
UGGGGAGUGGCACAGUGAUAGAGAAUUUGCCUAGCAUAUGCAAAACCCUGGGUUCAAUGCCCAGCACUACAA